rnacentral:rRNA from 1 species
UACAGAGGUCCCGAGCGUUGUUCGGAUUCAUUGGGCGUAAAGGGUGCGUAGGCGGCGGGGCAAGUCUGAUGUGAAAUCCCGGGGCUCAACCCCGGAACUGCAUUGGAUACUGCUCUGCUUGAGGGUUGGAGAGGAGAUCGGAAUUCACGGUGUAGCAGUGAAAUGCGUAGAUAUCGUGAGGAAGACCAGUGGCGAAGGCGGAUCUCUGGACAAAUCCUGACGCUGAGGCGCGAAGGCUAGGGGAGCAAACGGG